rnacentral:rRNA from 1 species
GACGAACGCUGGCGGCGGGCUUAACACAUGCAAGUCGAACGGAAAGGCCCUGCUUUUGUGGGGUGCUCGAGUGGCGAACGGGUGAGUAACACGGGAGUAACCUGCCCUUGACGUUGUGAUAACUUCAGGAAACUGGGGCUAAUACCGGAUAGGAGCUCCUGCUGCAUGGUGGGGGUUGGACAGUUUCGGCGGUUGGGGAUGGACGCGCGGCUUAUCAGCUUGUUGGUGGGGUAGUGGCUUACCAAGGCUUUGACGGGUAGCCGGCCUGAGAGGGUGGACGGCCACAUGGGGCCUGCGAUACGGCGCAGACUCCAACGGGAGGCAGCAGUGGGGAAUCUGGCACAAUGGGCGGAAGCCUGAUGAGGCAACGCCGCGUGCGGGAUGACGGCCUUCGGGUUGUAAACCGCUUUAGCCUGUGACGAAGCGUGAGUGACGGUAAUGGGUAAAGAAGCACCGGCUAACUACGUG